UCCUACGGGACGCAGCAGUGGGGAAUAUUGCACAAUGGGGGAAACCCUGAUGCAGCAACGCCGCGUGAGUGAUGAAGGCCUUCGGGUUGUAAAGCUCUGUCUUCAGGGACGAUAAUGACGGUACCUGAGGAGGAAGCCACGGCUAACUACGUGCCAGCAGCCGCGGUAAUACGUAGGUGGCAAGCGUUGUCCGGAUUUACUGGGCGUAAAGGGAGCGUAGGCGGAUACUUAAGUGGGAUGUGAAAUACCUGGGCUUAACUUGGGUGCUGCAUUCCAAACUGGGUGUCUAGAGUGUUGGAGAGGAAAGUGGAAUUCCUAGUGUAGCGGUGAAAUGCGUAGAGAUUAGGAAGAACACCAGUGGCGAAGGCGACUUUCUGGACAAUAACUGACGCUGAGGCUCGAAAGCGUGGGGAGCAAACAGGAUUAGAUACCCUGGUAGG
rnacentral:rRNA from 1 species